rnacentral:rRNA from 1 species
UCGGGAAUCUUGCACAAUGGGCGAAAGCCUGAUGCAGCAACGCCGUGUGAGCGAGGAAGGUCUUCGGAUCGUAAAGCUCUUUUACCAGGGAUGAUAAUGACAGUACCUGGAGAAUAAGCUCCGGCUAACUCCGUGCCAGCAGCCGCGGUAAUACGGAGGGAGCUAGCGUUGUUCGGAAUUACUGGGCGUAAAGCGCGCGUAGGCGGUUAUCCAAGUCAGGGGUGAAAUCCCGGAGCUCAACUCCGGAACUGCCCUUGAAACUAGGUGACUAGAAUACUGGAGAGGUGAGUGGAAUUCCGAGUGUAGAGGUGAAAUUCGUAGAUAUUCGGAAGAACACCAGUGGCGAAGGCGACUCACUGGACAGUUAUUGACGCUGAGGUGCGAAAGCGUGGGGAGCAAACAGGAUUAGAUACCCGUGUAGUCC